rnacentral:rRNA from 1 species
CCUACGGGAGGCAGCAGUGGGGAAUUUUGGACAAUGGGCGCAAGCCUGAUCCAGCCAUGCCGCGUGCGGGAAGAAGGCCUUCGGGUUGUAAACCGCUUUUGUCAGGGAAGAAAUCCUUUGGGUUAAUACCUCGGAGGGAUGACGGUACCUGAAGAAUAAGCACCGGCUAACUACGUGCCAGCAGCCGCGGUAAUACGUAGGGUGCGAGCGUUAAUCGGAAUUACUGGGCGUAAAGCGUGCGCAGGCGGUUAUGCAAGACAGAUGUGAAAUCCCCGGGCUCAACCUGGGAACUGCAUUUGUGACUGCAUAGCUAGAGUACGGUAGAGGGGGAUGGAAUUCCGCGUGUAGCAGUGAAAUGCGUAGAUAUGCGGAGGAACACCGAUGGCGAAGGCAAUCCCCUGGAUCUGUACUGACGCUCAUGCACGAAAGCGUGGGGAGCAAACAGGAUUAGAUACCCUGGUAGUCCACGCCCUAAACGAUGUCAACUGGUUGUUGGACGGCUUGCUGUUCNGUAACGAGCUAACGCGUGAAGUUGACCGCCUGGGGAGUACGGCCGCAAGGUUGAAACCGUGAAGAUUGACGNGNGAGAGNGCGAGCGACGACGAGGGAGGAG